rnacentral:rRNA from 1 species
AUUGAACGCUAGCGGGAUGCCUUACACAUGCAAGUCGAACGGCCGGACCACCCCGGUGGGCGAGGCAGUGGCGAACGGCUGAGUAACACGUGGGCAACCUGCCCCCCUCCCGGGACAGCCUCGGGAAACCGUGGGUAAUACCGGAUGAACCGCCCCUCCGCAUGGGAGGGCGGGAAAGCUCCGGCGGGGGGGAUGGGCCCGCGGCCUGUUAGCUAGUUGGCGGGGCAACGGCCCACCAAGGCGACUAUGGGUAGCUGGGUUGAGUGACCGACCAGCCAGAUUGGGGACUGAGACACGGCCCAG